GCAAGCUAAUUGUUUUGUGUUGUAAUAAUGUAUUUCAUAAACAUAUUUCGUACCAUAUUUACACACGUGUAUGUUGAAUUAUGCAGACUAUCGUUUUUAUCGAUGUUUAUUUAGACAUGUUUACAAACUUGCUAUUACCGGUAAAGUUUGUUCUCAUGAUAAAACUCAAGAAACUCAAAGUACAGAUGAUUUGUUUAACGUUAUAUGUAUUUUACUGUUGUUUUUACUUGAAGCUUUCUUAGAUUUUGAAACGAAGUAAACACGUAAUGUGUGUUGCUAAUGUUGGGCCAUGUAAUACAUUAACGUUUUAAUGAAUAGUCUAACGAUUUAUAAUCGUUGUACUCUAUUGUUAUAAUAUGUCUUUUUGACUGAAUACAUGUUUGUUUUAUUUGUGUAUAUCCUAGAUUCGCAGCUGGACACAUCCUUCUACACUGUAUGCAAACAUGCAACAUCAUUACACACAGUACAAGGCAUAUGAGGAGCAAAGGAACCCAGGCAGUAGCAUCGUUUCACAAUGUUUCAAUCACCAUCAUCAGUGGAUGCCUUUGCCGCCCGUAGCCUGAGAUUUCAGAUUUGCAGCAAAAAAUGUGACUUUCCCAUUUAUUGGAAUGCUGUGCAGGUUAUACCUUACAGCCGUCCAUUACAAUGUCACCAAGCCGUAACAAAAGCAGGAGAGGGAAAGUACAAGGCUAUGUUCCCAAAACACACAAGUGACAUACUGUAAGCAGUAAUGUUUUAUUUCAAAUACAUUCAUAAUUAAAAACUUACUGUAUGAAGCAGGGAAAUAAAUGAUCAAAACAAAAGAUUUAUUGACUGCAAUAUUUGUACAGUUAUGUGGAUGAUGUGAUCAGGCUUGUGUUUGAUGAGGUAUUUGAAGAUAAGCUGAAGGAAACCCUGAUUCCAAUGGACCUGGCAUCACAGUUUGAGAGGAGGACGUGAUUGCAUGCCAUCUUCAGUGCAGGGGUCGUCGGAAGCCAACAUUCCGAUCAGGAAGCUCCAAGCAUAUCUGGAGAACAACACACGACAGGAUGAUAACCCUAAAGUGCCGUCUUAAAUAGCACCAGCUGACAAAGCUUUGAUAUGCCAUUUAUCUGAAUAGAUAGCUGUAAGAAGUGAAUUGAACAAUUUUUGAGAGAAGAGCACAAUAUGGUUACUAAAGUAUGUUUAUUUGUAUAUUGUUUAACAUUUAAAUAUAUAUUUGUAAUAAAUAAAAAAACUUUUGACUGACUACUA